GGCUGACCAUCUGUGGAAAAGGCAGUUGGGCUGACCGCCUCACCAAGUUGGUCCAGAAAGUACCUCGGAACACACUGAAGCGACGCCGACUUGAACCUACGUUCUGCACGUGUGCAAGACGUAAUACGUCUCCAUGACAGCAGGUGGGGCUAAUGUGUAUUGUCGCCCAAAGAAUGAUGACUGAAAAUGAGUUGAUUGGACAAUUGCGUCACAUGGGUCUGGCUUCUCCAGAAUUUCAAAGCCAGACCAUGAUGGCGGCUCACAUUUUAAGUGAGAAAUAGCCGUGCAGCUGCUGAAUCUGUCUUCAUUUCAGAUGGACAAAGGUCAGUUUAAAAAAAAUCUCAUCUGAUUUUGAGAGGCAGUAGUCACGCUCAUCCCACUUGUCAUUUCCUUGGUUAGAACGCCACCAAUCAGAUUGGUCCAUGAGUCCAACGGCCCGCCUCCCGAUUCAGCAUGUCAAAUCGGCCCAAAUGAAGCCGACGGCUCCUCCGACGGACGACGGCACGGAACACACCGGACAGACUCUAGCAGGCUGUCCGAAG